AGGAAGGUGGCUCAAUGGUAGAGCGCUUGCCUUGCAUGCAUGAGGCCCUGGGUUC
rnacentral:tRNA from 1 species